AUACAUAGGGGGCGAGCGUUAUCCGGAUUUAUUGGGCGUAAAGGGUGCGUAGGCGGUAAAUUAAGUCUAAGGUUAAAGUGCAGGGCUCAACCCUGUGAUGCCUUAGAAACUGGUUUACUUGAGUUUGGUAGAGGUAAGUGGAACUCCAUGUGUAGCGGUAAAAUGCGUAAAUAUAUGGAAGAACACCAGUGGUGAAGGCGGCGUACUGGGCCACAACUGACGCUGAGGCACGAAAGCGUGGGGAGCAAACAGGAUUAGAUACCCUGGUAGUCCACACUGUAAACGAUGAAUGCUAGGUGUAGGGGGUAUCGACCCCUUCUGUGCCGCAGUUAACACAAUAAGCAUUCCGCCUGGGGAGUACGGCCGCAAGGUUGAAACUCACAUGAAUUGACGGGG
rnacentral:rRNA from 1 species